rnacentral:rRNA from 1 species
UACGGAGGGAGCUGGCGUUGUUCGGAAUUACUGGGCGUAAAGCGCACGUAGGCGGCUACUCAAGUCAGAGGUGAAAGCCCGGGGCUCAACCCCGGAACUGCCUUUGAAACUAGGUAGCUAGAAUCCUGGAGAGGUCAGUGGAAUUCCGAGUGUAGAGGUGAAAUUCGUAGAUAUUCGGAAGAACACCAGUGGCGAAGGCGACUGACUGGACAGGUAUUGACGCUGAGGUGCGAAAGCGUGGGGAGCAAACAGG